CCUACGGGUGGCAGCAGUGAGGAAUAUUGGUCAAUGGACGUAAGGCUGAACCAGCCAAGUCACGUGAAGGAAGAAGGAUCUAUGGGUUGUAAACUGCUUUUAUAGGGGAAUAAAGGUAUCCACGUGUGGAUAUUUGCAUGUACCCUAUGAAUAAGCAUCGGCUAACUCCGUGCCAGCAGCCGCGGUAAUACGGAGGAUGCGAGCGUUAUCCGGAUUUAUUGGGUUUAAAGGGUGCGUAGGUUGUUUUUUAAGUCAGCGGUGAAAGUUUGUGGCUCAACCAUAAAAUUGCCGUUGAAACUGGCAGACUUGAGUGUGUUUGCGGUAGGCGGAAUGCGUGGUGUAGCGGUGAAAUGCAUAGAUAUCACGCAGAACUCCGAUUGCGAAGGCAGCUUACUAAGCCAUAACUGACACUGAGGCACGAAAGCGUGGGGAUCAAACAGGAUUAGAUACCCGUGUAGUC
rnacentral:rRNA from 1 species